rnacentral:rRNA from 1 species
CCCUUAGAUGUUCUGGGCUGCACGCGCGCUACACUGAUGCGCUCAACGAGUUUACGACCUUGCCUGGAAAGGUUGGGUAAUCUUCUUAAAACGCAUCGUGAUGGGGAUAGAUUAUUGCAAUUAUUAAUCUUCAACGAGGAAUUCCUAGUAAGCGCGAGUCAUCAGCUUGCGUCGAUUACGUCCCUGCCCUUUGUACACACCGCCCGUCGCUCCUACCGAUUGGGUGUGCUGGUGAAAUGUUCGGAUCGGCCGUUUGUCGCGGUUUCCGCGUCAUGUGGCUGAGAAGUUCAUUAAACCCUCCCACCUAGAGGAAGGAGAAGUCGUAACA